CCUUCCGGUCCGGCGUCAGUGGGUUACCGAACAAACCCUCCCAUUGGCACAACCUUGACCGCUAG
rnacentral:sRNA from 1 species